AGAAGACGAUAUGGAUGACUGACUAUUUGAAAGAAUUGGGAAAGAAGCAGCACGAAGAGAUUCUUUAUAGAGAUAGUCAGAGUGUCAUACAGUUGGUGAGGAACCCGAUCUAUCAUUUAAAGAAAAAACACAGAAAACGAUACCAUUUCACUUGAAGUUAGUGAAAGAUAGUGAUGUGCUUGGAGAAGAUAAAGGGUACAAAGAAUCUAACAAACCGACAGAUGUUGGAAUAUUGAGGUUGUGUUGAAAUAUUGAGGUUGUGCAAAGCCUCAGUAGGUGUCAUGAAGAGUAAAUAACAUAUAAAAAAAUGUCAUAAAUAAUAAAUUGCUAUAUACAGAUAAAACUAUAUCUGGUAAGGUAUACGUAGUAAGCUAAACCAUAUACUCCCUUUUGAAAAAGUAGGUUCCCUUUU